AGGACGAACGCUGGCGGCGUGCCUCAUACAUGCAAGUGGAGCGACGAACCAGGAUUUAUCCUGGGGCAAAGCCGCGAACGGGUGAGUAACACGUGAGUAACCUGCCCCUAGCUUCGGGAUAGCUCCGGGAAACCGGAAUUAAUACCGGAUAUGACCACGGCCGACAUCGGCCACGGUGGAAAGAUUCAUCGGCUAGGGAUGGGCUCGCGGCCUAUCAGCUUGUUGGUGGGUAACAGCCUACCAAGGCGACGACGGGUA
rnacentral:rRNA from 1 species